rnacentral:lncRNA from 1 species
CUCAAAUUGCAUACUAAUUCUUUUGCUCUUUCAUAAUUAAUUCUCUCCCAUUUCCCACAGAGACUGUUUUAUACCUUCUUUUCUCUUCUUAGGCCUCAUAUAUACAACCAUCUCCCUCCUCCCUUUCAACCCAAGACCUGGCCUCAUACUUCACUGAAAAAAAAUGGGAUGCAUCUUCCUCUUCAGUCUCACAAUUCAGAUCACCUUAGUAUCAUCCCCCAAAUAUCUGCUUGUCCCCAUUAUGAAGAAAUUAAGUUGAUUUAUAUUCAGAACUUGGAGCUUGGACCUGCCAUAUUUCUUGGGCAAGUGAUAGUGGGCAUCUAAGGAUACCAGGCCCCAUGGGAAGGAAGACAGAUCCUUACCUUACCCCUCAAACUG